AAGACACCUCGUAUUUACCUGGGGAUGUCCGGUUCGCUUUGGUCGGUGAGACCGGACAGGCAGGCCCACUUCGGUGGGCUUUUU
rnacentral:sRNA from 1 species